UGCGUAGGCGGAUUAAUAAGUCAGUGGUGAAAUCUUUCGGCUCAACCGAGAAACUGCCAUUGAUACUGUUAAUCUUGAGUUCGGUUGAGGUAGGCGGAAUGUGUAAUGUAGCGGUGAAAUGCUUAGAUAUUACACAGAACACCAAUUGCGUAGGCAGCUUACUAGACCGACACUGACGCUGAGGCACGAAAGCGUGGGGGGCGAACAGGAUUAGAUACCCUGGUAGUCC
rnacentral:rRNA from 1 species